rnacentral:rRNA from 2 species
GCUCAGGAUGAACGCCGGCGGUGUGCCUAAUACAUGCAAGUCGAACGCGUUGGCCCAAUUGAUUGAUGGUGCUUGCACCUGAUUGAUUUUGGUCGCCAACGAGUGGCGGACGGGUGAGUAACACGUAGGUAACCUGCCCAGAAGCGGGGGACAACAUUUGGAAACAGAUGCUAAUACCGCAUAACARCGUUGUUCGCAUGAACAACGCUUAAAAGAUGGCUUCUCGCUAUCACUUCUGGAUGGACCUGCGGUGCAUUAGCUUGUUGGUGGGGUAACGGCCUACCAAGGCGAUGAUGCAUAGCCGAGUUGAGAGACUGAUCGGCCACAAUGGGACUGAGACACGGCCCAUACUCCUACGGGAGGCAGCAGUAGGGAAUCUUCCACAAUGGGCGCAAGCCUGAUGGAGCAACACCGCGUGAGUGAAGAAGGGUUUCGGCUCGUAAAGCUCUGUUGUUAAAGAAGAACACGUAUGAGAGUAACUGUUCAUACGUUGACGGUAUUUAACCAGAAAGUCACGGCUAACUACGUGCCAGCAGCCGCGGUAAUACGUAGGUGGCAAGCGUUAUCCGGAUUUAUUGGGCGUAAAGAGAGUGCAGGCGGUUUUCUAAGUCUGAUGUGAAAGCCUUCGGCUUAACCGGAGAAGUGCAUCGGAAACUGGAUAACUUGAGUGCAGAAGAGGGUAGUGGAACUCCAUGUGUAGCGGUGGAAUGCGUAGAUAUAUGGAAGAACACCAGUGGCGAAGGCGGCUACCUGGUCUGCAACUGACGCNAGANUCGAA